rnacentral:misc_RNA from 1 species
GGGAGAUGUAUGCCAUUGGUGGCAGUGCUGCUCCUACAAUUAACAGCCAGGGUAACAGAUACCUUGCCCCAGUGAACCCUUUUGCCAAAGAGGUGACAAAAAGAGUGGAACCAUGGGAAGGAUCAUGGAGACAGUGGAACUGGAGAUCAGUGGGAGACCUUUUGUUGAAUGGAGCAUACUUUACUGCAUCGGGACGUGCUGCUCCAGGCAGCUAUGCAAGAGCCUCAAGCUUAGCUGCGAAGUCCUCUUCCUUGGUCGGAAUGAUUACCUCGAAUGCUGGUGCACUUUCUUGACACAAAUGUUGAUGUCAAGCACAUCAACAUAUCUAGUGAUCACAAACCACACCAUCACAUCAUCUUUACCUAUCCAUUGAAUUCAACAUUCUAAGCCAAUUUUCUCUGAUUAUCUUUCAUCUCUUAGUUUGUGUCUGCCCCUAAUCACCUUUUGAGCAGGGGAGGACACAUAAUAUUAAGGAUGGGUUCAAUUUAACCCACCAUUAUCAGCUUAAAACCUUUAAUAUAUAUGUGAGAAAUCCUAAAAUGUUGUAUAAAUAUUAAAUUCUGAACUCAUAUUUCAAAGAGCGGACAAUCUUGAAUCUGCCUUAGCUCUUGAAUAUAAGGUUCUUGAAACACUACAUUGAUUUUGCACCUGUUUGUCCAUUCCACUUGUCUUAAUGUACCCCGUCCUCAACCUCCCCAACUCCCCGAGAGAUAUAAUUCGAGUAUCUCUGGAGAAGUUUCUGAGAUGCUGUCUUCUUUUUCUUGUCCAUAUCCUACAUACCAUUUCACCAAAAUUUUAUCUCAUGGUAUCAGAAACAGAAAGAUUGUUAAAAUAAAGAAGGAUAAAAGUUAUGCAAGUCCAAUUUUUAGGUUUCUUUCUUGUUGUAGAUGUUCAGCUUCAAAAUAUUAUUGUAAUUGUUAUCCUUAUAAAAUAUGAUAUAUUAUACAUAU